AUUGAACGCUGGCGGCAGGCCUAACACAUGCAAGUCGAACGGUAGCACAGAGGAGCUUGCUCCUUGGGUGACGAGUGGCGGACGGGUGAGUAAUGUCUGGGAAACUGCCCGAUGGAGGGGGAUAACUACUGGAAACGGUAGCUAAUACCGCAUAACGUCGCAAGACCAAAGAGGGGGACCUUCGGGCCUCUUGCCAUCGGAUGUGCCCAGAUGGGAUUAGCUAGUAGGUGGGGUAACGGCUCACCUAGGCGACGAUCCCUAGCUGGUCUGAGAGGAUGACCAGCCACACUGGAACUGAGACACGGUCCAGACUCCUACGGGAGGCAGCAGUGGGGAAUAUUGCACAAUGGGCGCAAGCCUGAUGCAGCCAUGCCGCGUGUAUGAAGAAGGCCCUCGGGUUGUAAAGUACUUUCAGCGAGGAGGAAGGCGUUGUGGUUAAUAACCGCAACGAUUGACGUUACUCGCAGAAGAAGCACCGGCUAACUCCGUGCCAGCAGCCGCGGUAA
rnacentral:rRNA from 1 species